UUAAGUGACUAAGCGUACACGGUGGAUGCCUUGGCAGUCAGAGGCGAUGAAAGACGUAGUAACUUGCGAUAAGCCCAGAUUAGGUAGUAACAACCAUUUGAGUCUGGGAUUUCUGAAUGGGGAAACCCACUUACAUAAGUAAGUAUCAUUAACUGAAUACAUAGGUUAAUGAGGCGAACCGGGGGAACUGAAACAUCUAAGUACCCCGAGGAAAAGAAAUCAACCGAGAUUCCGAAAGUAGCGGCGAGCGAAAUUGGACUAGCCCUUAAGCUUUACACGCGUUAGACGAACGGUCUGGAAAGUCCGACGAUACAGGGUGAUAGUCCCGUAGUUGACGACGUGUGUUCAGUGAAAUCGAGUAGGGCGGGACACGUGAUAUCCUGUCUGAAUAUGGGGGGACCAUCCUCCAAGGCUAAAUACUACUGACUGACCGAUAGUGAACCAGUACCGUGAGGGAAAGGCGAAAAGAACCCCUGUGAGGGGAGUGAAAUAGAACCUGAAACCGUGUACGUACAAGCAGUAGGAGCAGGCUUUGUCCUGUGACUGCGUACCUUUUGUAUAAUGGGUCAGCGACUUAUAUUCAGUGGCAAGGUUAACCAUCUAGGGGAGCCGUAGGGAAACCGAGUCUUAACUGGGCGUUCAGUCUCUGGAUAUAGACCCGAAACCAGGUGAUCUAGCCAUGGGCAGGUUGAAGGUUGAGUAACAUCAACUGGAGGACCGAACCGACUAAUGUUGAAAAAUUAGCGGAUGACUUGUGGCUAGGGGUGAAAGGCCAAUCAAACCUGGAGAUAGCUGGUUCUCCCCGAAAGCUAUUUAGGUAGCGCCUCGGACGAAUACUACUGGGGGUAGAGCACUGUUAAGGCUAGGGGGUCAUCCCGACUUACCAACCCUUUGCAAACUCCGAAUACCAGUAAGUACUAUCCGGGAGACACACGGCGGGUGCUAACGUCCGUCGUGGAGAGGGAAACAACCCAGACCGCCAGCUAAGGUCCCAAAUUACUACUAAGUGGGAAACGAUGUGGGAAGGCUCAGACAGCCAGGAUGUUGGCUUAGAAGCAGCCAUCAUUUAAAGAAAGCGUAAUAGCUCACUGGUCGAGUCGGCCUGCGCGGAAGAUGUAACGGGGCUAAGUAGUAAACCGAAGCUGCGGCAAUAUACUUUUGUAUAUUGGGUAGGGGAGCGUUCUGUAAGCGGUUGAAGGUGUGUGGUAACGCAUGCUGGACGUAUCAGAAGUGCGAAUGCUGACAUGAGUAACGAUAAAGGGGGUGAAAAACCUCCUCGCCGGAAGACCAAGGGUUCCUGUCCAACGUUAAUCGGGGCAGGGUAAGUCGACCCCUAAGGCGAGGCCGAAAGGCGUAGUCGAUGGGAAACGGGUUAAUAUUCCCGUACUUCUUACAAUUGCGAUGGGGGGACGGAGAAGGCUAGGUGGGCCUGGCGACGGUUGUCCAGGUUCAAGUGCGUAGGCUUAAGAGUUAGGUAAAUCCGGCUCUUUUUAAGGCUGAGACACGACGUCGAGCAUCUACGGAUGUGAAGUCAUUGAUGCCAUGCUUCCAGGAAAAGCCUCUAAGCUUCAGAUUGUAAGGAAUCGUACCCCAAACCGACACAGGUGGUCGGGUAGAGAAUACCAAGGCGCUUGAGAGAACUCGGGUGAAGGAACUAGGCAAAAUGGUACCGUAACUUCGGGAGAAGGUACGCUCUCGACGGUGAAGUCCCUCGCGGAUGGAGCUAUUGAGAGUCGCAGAUACCAGGUGGCUGCAACUGUUUAUUAAAAACACAGCACUGUGCAAAAUCGUAAGAUGACGUAUACGGUGUGACGCCUGCCCGGUGCCGGAAGGUUAAUUGAUGGGGUUAGACUUCGGUCGAAGCUCUUGAUCGAAGCCCCGGUAAACGGCGGCCGUAACUAUAACGGUCCUAAGGUAGCGAAAUUCCUUGUCGGGUAAGUUCCGACCUGCACGAAUGGCGUAAUGAUGGCCACGCUGUCUCCACCCGAGACUCAGUGAAAUUGAAAUCGCUGUGAAGAUGCAGUGUACCCGCGGCUAGACGGAAAGACCCCGUGAACCUUUACUACAGCUUGGCACUGAACAUUGACCCUACAUGUGUAGGAUAGGUGGGAGGCUUUGAAGCAGGUACGCCAGUAUCUGUGGAGCCGUCCUUGAAAUACCACCCUUGUAGUGUUGAUGUUCUAACGUCGACCCCUUAUCGGGGUUGCGGACAGUGCCUGGUGGGUAGUUUGACUGGGGCGGUCUCCUCCCAAAGAGUAACGGAGGAGCACGAAGGUGGGCUAAUCACGGUUGGACAUCGUGAGGUUAGUGCAAUGGCAUAAGCCCGCUUGACUGCGAGAAUGACAAUUCGAGCAGGUGCGAAAGCAGGUCAUAGUGAUCCGGUGGUUCUGAAUGGAAGGGCCAUCGCUCAACGGAUAAAAGGUACUCCGGGGAUAACAGGCUGAUACCGCCCAAGAGUUCAUAUCGACGGCGGUGUUUGGCACCUCGAUGUCGGCUCAUCACAUCCUGGGGCUGAAGUCGGUCCCAAGGGUAUGGCUGUUCGCCAUUUAAAGUGGUACGCGAGCUGGGUUUAGAACGUCGUGAGACAGUUCGGUCCCUAUCUGCCGUGGGCGUUGGAAGAUUGAAGGGGGCUGCUCCUAGUACGAGAGGACCGGAGUGGACGAACCUCUGGUGUUCGGGUUGUGUCGCCAGACGCAUUGCCCGGUAGCUAAGUUCGGAAUCGAUAACCGCUGAAAGCAUCUAAGCGGGAAGCGAGCCCUGAGAUGAGUCUUCCCUGAUACUUUAAGUAUCCUAAAGGGUUGUCGGAGACUACGACGUUGAUAGGUCAGGUGUGUAAGUGCUGUGAGGCAUUGAGCUAACUGAUACUAAUUGCCCGUGAGGCUUAACC
rnacentral:rRNA from 1 species